CCGCGCCUCAUCACGCCAUCGCACACUGUGAACAUUUCCAAUGGAAGUUGAUAAUUUUAAUCUGCAUAAAAGGAAACUAUCGAGGAACUGUUGUGCGGGUGCAUGUGGCCGAUGGAACGGUCCGAGCGAAACUAAACUCCCAGCAAUUUAACCCCACUAGUCCCCGGCAACAAUCCAAGCUUCGUCCUUCAACCAGCAUAAGGUGUUACACAGACCGUAGACUCUUUAUCGAGACAGAGAACAGGAAAAGUCUGCCAAUCACCAGUCGCAUGGAGGAAGAACAUAUGAAAAUUGCCUGAUAACUCACUCAAGAUGAGCUUUCUUGGGGGCUUUUUCUCCACGUGUCCAUCAUCAACAUCAGUCAUAACAUCGAGUUCACGCAGAAGUGAUAUGCCACUGGAGGAGACUCUCGUUUUCCUGGGGACAGGGGUUGAAGGGGGUGGAUGAGCUUGAGAGGCAGUCCAUGGCACGCGGCGGCGGUAGCUCACCGGCGUUUCAUUAGCGGAAGAUGCUCCACCUUAUGCGGGGGAUGGAAAAGCGCUUUGGAGAGUGAGGCCAACGUUCAGCGAGAUUAGAAUCCGGUGGGUGGUGGUGCGCUGAGGGGUUUUCAUUCCUUCGCAUCAUAAGUUCAGGCAUCCAACACCCCGGCAGAGCUUCUCCGGCGGAAAAGGAAGAACUGAGACGAAGGAACAGAAAAGGAAGAGAGCAAGAUGGUGAGCGGAUGUAUGUCAGGCACGUAGCAACGGGGAUUGCUUCUAUGGCACAUUCAGGCAAUCAUGCCGGCAAUGCAGCG